GGAACCCGUCAAUGUUGAUGAACUAGUUGGCAUGUCUCAACUCACUCUGCUAGAGCACGAAAGAGAGCGUAGAGAGCCUUCACCUUUGGCUUUAAAGUUGAUAGGCAAGCGCUCAAGACAGUCAGCAUUCCAUCCAAAUGCUCCAGUUAGUCGUUCAGAGUUAAACAGGGACGACAACGAUACAAUCUAAGAUCUUGAAUCAAGAAGGGAGCAGUCUAC
rnacentral:misc_RNA from 1 species